UACGGGGGGAGCAAGCGUUGUUCGGAUUUACUGGGCGUAAAGGGCGCGUAGGCGGCCACCGCAAGUCGGUUGUGAAAUCUCUGGGCUUAACCCAGAAAGGUCAACCGAUACUGCGGGGCUAGAGUGCAGAAGGGGCAACCGGAAUUCCCAGUGUAGCGGUGAAAUGCGUAGAUAUUGGGAAGAACACCUGAGGCGAAGGCGGGUUGCUGGGCUGAUACUGACGCUGAGGCGCGAAAGCCAGGGGAGCAAACGGG
rnacentral:rRNA from 1 species